rnacentral:rRNA from 1 species
UGGGGGAUAUUGCGCAAUGGGGGAAACCCUGACGCAGCAACGCCGCGUGAAGGAAGAAGGUCUUCGGAUUGUAAACUUCUUUGAUGAGGGAAGAAUAAAUGACGGUACCUCAAAAACAAGCCACGGCUAACUACGUGCCAGCAGCCGCGGUAAUACGUAGGUGGCAAGCGUUGUCCGGAUUUACUGGGUGUAAAGGGUGCGUAGGCGGAUCUGCAAGUCAGAUGUGAAAUCCCGGGGCUUAACUCCGGGGCUGCAUUUGAAACUGCAUUUCUUGAGUGAUGGAGAGGUAAGUGGAAUUCCCAGUGUAGCGGUGAAAUGCGUAGAUAUUGGGAGGAACACCAGUGGCGAAGGCGACUUACUGGACAUUAACUGACGCUGAGGCACGAAAGCGUGGGUAGCAAACAGG